rnacentral:snRNA from 1 species
GAAUGUGAGGGUGAACUGGCUGUGACGUGUCACCCCAUUGAUUAUCAGGGUUGAUUCAGCUGAUCUGGCUGGCUAGGCGGACAUUCCUCCCUCAUCACUCCUCACCCUCCCAAACUGCCUGCUCCCCUGCUAGAACCACCAAACAAACUUUCAACUCAUAUAUACAUAUAUAAAUGAAUGGGCUUGGGAGAAAUAUGGCAGUUUUCACUGGAGGGAGGUAUAGAACUCUGGUGGUGGGAAUGGUAUGGAAUUAUAACUGUUGUCUUAUAAAUCACUUUAGUAAAACACUAAUUAAGAAGUU